rnacentral:misc_RNA from 1 species
GGGGGGAGGCGACCGAGCGAAGUUUGGUAGAUCGUAGGGAUUGUCGCUGGCCUUUGGAAACGAAGGCAUGUGCACGUUCCGAGUUCUCCUUAGUCCUCCUUUGCCUUUCCUUUGGAAAACCCUUUCUUCACACCCGUGCACCCAUUGUAGGUCUCCGCGAGGGGAUCUAUGUCUUCACAUAAACACUACGUAUGUCUAGGAAUGUAUCUAANAGCGUCGGACGGCUUGGCUUCGUGCCCGGUCGGCGACGGUAAAGAACCAUAAUACAACUUUCAGCAACGGAUCUCUUGGCUCUCGCAUCGAUGAAGAACGCAGCGAAUUGCGAUAAGUAAUGUGAAUUGCAGAUUUUCAGUGAAUCAUCGAAUCUUUGAACGCACCUUGCGCUCCUUGGUAUUCCGAGGAGCAUGCCUGUUUGAGUGUCAUUUAAUUCUCAACCAUCCCUCGAUUCGUUUCGAGGGUUUGGCUUGGAUUUUGGGGGCUGCCGGGCGACCCUAGGGUCUUCGGCUCUCCUUAAAAGCAUUAGCGAUGGCGGCGCGAUCUAACCCCCC